rnacentral:rRNA from 1 species
AGAGUUUGAUCAUGGCUCAGAACGAACGCUGGCGGCAUGCCUAACACAUGCAAGUCGCACGAGAAUUUGGAGCUUGCUCCAUUAGUAAAGUGGCGAACGGGUGAGUAAUACCUAGGUAACCUACCCUAAGGCGGGGGACAACCUUCCGAAAGGAGGGCUAAUACCCCAUAAGACCACGGGUUCUUCGGAUCCUGUGAUAAAAGAUGACCUCUACUUGUAAGUUAUCUCCUUUGGAUGGGCCUGGGCACCAUUAGCUUGUUGGUAGGGUAACGGCCUACCAAGGCUCCGAUGGUUAGCUGGUCUGAGAGGAUGACCAGCCACACUGGAACUGAAACACGGUCCAGACUCCUACGGGAGGCAGCAGUGGGGAAUAUUGCGCAAUGGGGGAAACCCUGACGCAGCAAUGCCGCGUGAGUGAUGAAGGCCCUCGGGUCGUAAAGCUCUGUCAGGAGGAACGAAACUUUCAUGGCUAAUAUCCAUGAAACUGACGGUACCUCCAAAGGAAGCACCGGCUAACUCCGUGCCAGCAGCCGCGGUAAGACGGAGGGUGCGAGCGUUGUUCGGAAUUACUGGGCGUAAAGGGCGUGUAGGUGGUCUGAUAUGUCGGAUGUGAAAGCCCAUGGCUCAACCAUGGAAGUGCAUUCGAAACUGUCAGACUAGAGGCCAAGAGAGGGAAGUGGAAUUCCUAGUGUAGGAGUGAAAUCCGUAGAUAUUAGGAGGAACACCGGUAGCGAAGGCGACUUCCUGGCUUGGUACUGA